GACAUAUAAUUUAGGACAGAAAAACUACGUCACGUAAUAGAGUAUAUAUUCCGUGCAAAGGGAACACCCGGCACCAGAAAAAAGCAAAAACAAAAGGACGCGCGCGGGUGAAAAGCACGCGACGACGACCCAUCGUAUCAUUUUCCUUUCCAACAGGAGAUCGGUUAGAGUCAAUCUUCUAGUCUCAGACAGGUUCCUUUCAGAAGGGGGGAGAGAGAG
rnacentral:lncRNA from 1 species